rnacentral:rRNA from 1 species
GUGGGGAAUAUUGGACAAUGGGCGCAAGCCUGAUCCAGCCAUGCCGCGUGAGUGAUGAAGGCCCUAGGGUUGUAAAGCUCUUUCACCGGAGAAGAUAAUGACGGUAUCCGGAGAAGAAGCCCCGGCUAACUUCGUGCCAGCAGCCGCGGUAAUACGAAGGGGGCUAGCGUUGUUCGGAAUUACUGGGCGUAAAGCGCACGUAGGCGGACAUUUAUGUCAGGGGUGAAAUCCCGGGGCUCAACCCCGGAACUGCCUUUGAUACUGGGUGUCUGGAGUAUGGAAGAGGUAAGUGGAAUUCCGAGUGUAGAGGUGAAAUUCGUAGAUAUUCGGAGGAACACCAGUGGCGAAGGCGGCUUACUGGUCCAUUACUGACGCUGAGGUGCGAAAGCGUGGGGAGCAAACAGGAUUAGAUACCCGAGUAGUCC